UACUUAAGUAAAUGUUUACGCGUAAUGAUCAUCGAUCAAAAACUAUACCGUAUUGAAUAACAUAAAAAAAAAAAAAACUAGAGAAUGUGUUUACAUACAGAUUUAUACAGUGCCCAGUACGUUAUAUUGUGCACGUUAUACGUACGCCACCGAACAGUUCCACCGCCAGGAAAGAACCGCGUACAGUUAUAAUGCAAUUAUUAUAGCGCUUAAAAAACGAUCAAUGAAAGUAUAAUGGGAAUCGUGUUUAUUUUUUUCGCUCGUAAAAAUUUUUACCGAAUGUAAUCGUUGUUUUGUCCGCGCGGCAACGAUGCGAAAUUACGUAAUAUUUUGACGUGCAUUAUUAUUAUUACUGGCAUAUAUUAUACUCGUAUACGCACACUGUAUACGCGAUGCAGUCGGUGUUGUUAACCUGUAAAAUAAAUAAUAAAACAUUUUUUUUUCGUUCGUUUACACGCGCUCGUUUAAUUGCCCAUAUAUCAUCGUUCGAAAACAAAAAAAAAAAAUUCAUUAUUGCUGUUACAUCAGAUACUGCCUACAAUGUUAUGUAAAAGAGAAUAAUAUAUACGCGUGCUACCAUAUAUUGAACACUGCCGCAACAGCAGAAGCGGCGACCGUAUGCACAUAAAUUAUCGACCGAAUCCUUUAAAUCUUAUCUUGAAUCGAACGUCAGCGUGAGUUAGUCGUCGUAUACAUUACUAUACACACGUAUGUGUACAUAAACAAUAUGUAGGGUAAUAACGAUAAUAAUAGUAUUGCACUGUACAUACCUAUAGCUAUAUACUAAUGUGGCGGGUAAUAAAAAAAAAAAAAAAAAUUAUCGCUG